AGCGAACGCUGGCGGCAGGCCUAACACAUGCAAGUCGAACGGACCCUUCGGGGUUAGUGGCGGACGGGUGAGUAACACGUGGGAACGUGCCUUUAGGUUCGGAAUAGCUCCUGGAAACGGGUGGUAAUGCAGAAUGUGCCCUUCGGGGGAAAGAUUUAUCGCCUUUAGAGCGGCCCGCGUCUGAUUAGCUAGUUGGUGAGGUAAUGGCUCACCAAGGCGACGAUCAGUAGCUGGUCUGAGAGGAUGACCAGCCACAUUGGGACUGAGACACGGCCCAAACUCCUACGGGAGGCAGCAGUGGGGAAUCUUGCGCAAUGGGCGAAAGCCUGACGCAGCCAUGCCGCGUGGAUGAUGAAGGUCUUAGGAUUGUAAAAUCCUUUCACCGGUGAAGAUAAUGACUGUAGCCGGAGAAGAAGCCCCGGCUAACUUCGUGCCAGCCGCCGCUGUAAAAC
rnacentral:rRNA from 1 species